CACAAAGUACAUAUACAAGACGCGUUAUAUUGUAAGUGCAUUCCCACUGAAAAUCAGGCAGUUAAACAAAACAGGCUGAUAGUCUCAUCAACAUGAAGACCGCCAGCGUGGUAUUCAUAGCAAUAGUAACCACCAUGUUUCUGAUAGCUCUGGCUCCCAUUGAAACAGAAGCUUGGAUGUAUCGACCUACCAGUUCAAGCUCUCGCUGCAUUAGACGGUGUAGACAAAGUUUGAGGACUUGUCGCUUUUCAAGAAGUUGUUCCGUCCCGGUACCGAUCUUGUCUUAAUAGAUGUAGACGAAGACGGGGCUGAGGAUUCGUUUCGAAAUAGGACUCGUAACCCGGAAAAAGACCUACUGAAUAAAAACAAUUAAAAUUAAAUGUUCUACAAAAGAUAAUCAUAUUUAUCAUACUACGAAAACGUUCAAUAGUUACAGAUCAAUUCAACAAAUGGCUAAAUUGUGGCUUCAUAAUAAAAUGUUUACAAUCUGUUGA